rnacentral:rRNA from 1 species
GAUGAACGCUGGCGGCGUGCCUAAUACAUGCAAGUCGAGCGAACAGACGAGGAGCUUGCUCCUCUGACGUUAGCGGCGGACGGGUGAGUAACACGUGGAUAACCUACCUAUAAGACUGGGAUAACUUCGGGAAACCGGAGCUAAUACCGGAUAAUAUAUUGAACCGCAUGGUUCAAUAGUGAAAGACGGUUUUGCUGUCACUUAUAGAUGGAUCCGCGCCGCAUUAGCUAGUUGGUAAGGUAACGGCUUACCAAGGCAACGAUGCGUAGCCGACCUGAGAGGGGGACCGCCCCCCGGGAAACGGGGACGGGGUCCGGCCUCCUGGGGGAGGCAGAAGAAGGGAAUCUUCCGCAGUGGGGGAAAUCCGGCCGGAGCAGCGCGGCGUGGGAGAGGAGGGUCUUGGUAUCGAAAAACUCUGUUGUGGGGGAAAAAAAAUUGUGUAAGUAACUGUGCACUUCUUGACGGUCCCUAAUAAAAAAGCCCCGGCUAACUAGGUG